ensembl:lncRNA
GUUAAGUCCUGCUGGAGACCCGUUAUAAGUGGUGUCCCCCAGGGGUCGGUGCUGGGGCCUGUCCUGUUUAAUAUCUUUAUUGAUGACCCAGAUGAAGGGAUUGAGUGUACCCUGAGUAAGUUUGCAGAUGACACCAAGUUGAGAAGUAGUGUCGAUCUGCCUGAGGGUAGGGAGGCCCUGCAGAGGAAUCUAGAUAAGCUGGAUCGCUGGGCUCAGGUGAAUGAGAUGAAGUUCAACAAGGCCAAGUGCCAGGUUCUGCACUUUAGCCACAAUAACCCCAUGCAGCACUAUAGGCUUGGGGCAGAGCGGCUGUAUAACUGUGAAGAGGAAAGGGACCUGGGGGUUUUGGUUGAUGCUCAGCUGAACAUAAGCUGAGAGCAUGCCCAGGUGGCCAAAACAGCCAAUACCAUCCCCGCCUGCAUUAGAAAUAGUUGGCCAGAAGGAGCAGGGAAGCAAUCAUCCCCUGUACUCAGCACUGAUGAGGCCACACCUCGAGUACUGUGUUCAGUUUUGUGCCUCUCACUACAAGAAAAACAUUGAGGCCCUGGAAUGUGUCCAGGGAAGGGCAACAAAACUGGUGAGAUGUCUGGAGCACAAGUCUUAUGGGGAGCAGAUGAGGAAGCUGGGAUUGUUUAGUCUGGAGAAGAAGAGGCUCAGGGGAGAUCUCACUGUGCUCGACUACUUCCUGAAGGGAGGUUGUGAUGAGGAUGACUUCCUGAAGGGAGGUUGUGAUGAGGAUGGGUUUGGCCUCUUCUCCCAGGCAACAAACAGGACCUGAGGAAAUGGCCUCAAGUUGUGCCAGAGAAGGUUUAGAUUAGACAUAAGGAAAAACUUUUUCCUCUCAGAGAGUGAUCAGGCACUGAUCAUGGCCUUCCCAGGGAGAUGGUGGAGUCGCUGUCCCUGGCAGUGUUCAAGAGGCAUCUGGAUGAAGAGCUAUGAGAUAUGGCUUAGUAGCUUGUGGUAUCAGUGGUAGUACAAGGAUGGUUGGACUAGAUGAUCUUGUAGGUCCUUUCUAAUCUUGUGAUUCUAUGAUUAUAUGGAAAAAAAGCAGGUUUGUUUAAGGGAGAAAGAGUCAGAGGAAUGAAACAAGAAAAUCUGUUGACAUUCAAGCCAGUGUUCACAGUAGUGUAGAACACCAAGUACUCAUGUUAUGCCCAUUUCCUAUACAUUUUUUAUUACUUUUUGGUAGUUAAUAUAUGCACACAAUAAACAUCAGUGUUAAAAAUAGCUUAUGCCAAGAAAGGCAACAUGCUCAGAUUUACAGUGUUUUUGAAGUAUUGUUUUUAUAUUUAAUCACAUUGUACAUUAUUAAUAUUUUAUUCAUGUAUUCUCUUUGAUUCUUAUAUAUGUGCAUGUACAUACAUAUUCAUAUCCACACUACCCAAGUAUUCAUGUAUAUAAAUACAUACAACCAAAUGCAAGGGUGUGAAAGUGGAAAUAAACAAGACAGUACAACAAAGUUCUCACACUGCUACUUCCAUGACAGAUAAAGAAAUGCACAGAAUGAAUAAUCAAUAAAGUAAGUAGGAUGAGCUGAGUCCCACUACCUUCUGGACAAUGAGAAAGGAAUCCAUUAUACCCAGACAGGCCCUACUUAGUUCAGUUUUUUGGGCUCUUGAAUCCUUCUUGUUACACCACUCAGGAAUUACUAAUGUAUUGUCUUAGCAAUUUACAUUUCUCUAUUAUAGUUCAGGUUACCUUCCUUUUUGACAAAUGCUACAUAAAAUAUUACUUUGCAAGAAGAGGGAGCAAUUAUUUUUAAUAAUGUUUUGGGAAAGUAGAAAGUACUAGAUUUCACUUGAAUACUUUUAGUUGCACAUUAGUGAAAUGAUACUCUUGCUUUAGGAAGUCUAUCAUUUCCUUCCAUUAGAGACUUGUAGACUGCCGGUUCCAGCAAAGCCCUGAAAAACCUCCACUGAAGUUGUAACAUUAGUAAUGGUAGCAAAAGAACAGCAUCUUAUUUGAUGAGUGAAAUUCUUUUUUUGGAGUACUGCAACAUUUGGGGUAUACGUGAUGGACAGUUCUGAUCCUUUGUGUGCAAUAAUACUAUAUGAUAUGCAUUUGUGAGGUUCUUGUCAGUAUAUCUGAUAAUUUUUUUGCAAUAUUAAUAUUUAUGAGUGAUAGUAUUUAUCACAGUGCUUUAUUUCCAACAAAAUGCUACUCAUUCAGACUACCACUUCUGAAAAAAAAAAAUCAGAGGGAAUAUCACAGAUCAUUAAAAGGUUUGGAAUAAGACUCUCUAAAGAGAGCGUGUCUAUAAUGCAUUGGCCUAUUGUGUAGCUAGGUUUAUUUAUGUGGAUCUUUAUCUGCCUCAAAUAGAUCUAGACUGCUUCAGCCUUCAUCUAUAAGAAAAGUGCCACCCCUCAAGGAGAUAAAGUAGGGCAUCAAACCACAGCAAGCACUGCAGUGAGCUCUUGGUGAGCAGACAGGCACGGAAAGACUGAAGGCCUCCCAGACAAUUUCUAGCUAUAUCCAUUUCACCUGUAAGUCAAAAACAAAGUGUUUACUCUGAUUUAACAUAUCCACAAAAGAGCACUUGGGAAUUAUAUGUAUAUGUAUGUGUAUAUAUAUAUAUACAUAGAUACUCAUACACACACACACACCCCAAAACACAACCAUAAUUAGCCAUUCAUAAAUAGAGCACCCACAACAGCACUCUAUCUCAUAACAACAUCAAACAGAAAUCUUCUGAAAUGCUGAUGUAUUUAACCAACACAGUUUUCAUCUUAAUUGCAGCAUUAGCACAUACGGUGGCCUUCUGAACCACCUGCAAGCAGAAAAAUCAUGUGACAAAUACAUUCAUAGGAAAUCUUACCAAGAUUUUCAGUCUCAUUUUGCUGUAACAGUAUAGUUGCAUGCAUAGGUGAACUUGUGUAACCUUUUUUCAAAACAGCUCCUGAAUUCUAAACCUUUUAAGUUUCAUGCAUCCUCUCCUAAUAUGCACAAUUUUGCUUUAUGCGUGAGAAAUGUGAUCUUUCUGCCUUUCCUUUUAUAAAGUAUAGCAAAGGUAGUCCACUCACUGUACAUUAUGAUUUUGUAUAAUUUUUCUUUAGUGUCUGUGGAUAUUAGCAGUCUGCUCACCUAUGGUGGAAAGAAACACACUUCCCAGCUACAUCCCAUGAUUAAUGGGUAGCUAAAGGAAUAAUUCUUGUUCAAGUGUCCAUAUUCUCUGUUCAUUUUCCAAUCUUCAGCACAGACACUAGACUUUCUAAGCAAUGGCAAACAACCAUAUCUACUAAAAGAGCAUUUGUUGUAUUCAUGUUUCCCAUCCUGAAGCUAAACAAAGAUUGGAAACACAGCUUACAUAGCAUGAAGUAUAGCAUGUUAUUUAUAACAUGAAAGAGGAGCAAGAGAGCUGAAGACUUGCAGGACCCAGAAGAUGUCUUCCAAAGUGAAGAUCAUUUGAAGUUUACAAAAAAGCUGCCUUUUAAAUAAAUCUGCUUAUAGAAAGCAAUUCACAGUUCAGAAUUAAGUUUGUGAGUCCAAGAGCAAUAAGUCAUGUCCGACAUGAUUUAGCAGCAUCCAAAAAAAAGUAUAUAAGGAAAGUGGAAAAAUUAUUCCAAGUCUCACCCUAAUCUGAGCAAAGUUCAUUCAGUAUGUGAUAGGCUUCUGUUGCUGCUUUGUAGUGCACAGGUAAAAUUCCAUGACCAAAUGAAGCCUAUGAACUGUACAAGUCUCCACUAGUCCUUAAAAUAGAGCGUAAGCAAACCCUAAGUAUCAUACGGUGUUUAAUUUCAUUCAGAGAGGGGGAAAUAAAAGGUAGGAUGAAUUGUACUGCUGAAAAGUUCCCUCUGUAAGCUCUCAUUUUCAGGCAUAAACAGAAACAUAUAAUUUCUAUUUAUUAUGCUGACUCAGGCAUUGUUCUAGGAAAUUUAAUUUAACUGCUGGGUAACUCCCAGUUAGUUGAGAAAGCUUAAUGCCAUGUUUGUUUAAAAAGGAAGAAUGCAAAGAUACACAUUUUCUGGGACAAAACAAUAGACCCAUCUUAGUUUGUUGCAAAAUUACGUUACAGUAACAUAAUAUAUUAUCUCUCAGUGAAAAAUAUCAUUCAAGACUAAAAAAAAUCUGAAUGCAAAAAGAAACAAAGUUUUCCAAGAAAUAAGGGAAAAGACACUCAAAAGAAAAGCAGCUAUGAAUUCUAGUUCUUGGUGGACUUUUUUUUUUUUAAUUUUCCCUCUUUUUAAUAAGAUAAUCAGAGAAAAAUCAAGAGUAGAACUGAACUACAUUUCUUCAGCUAGACCAUUAGUUAAUAUGGCUCUAGAAUGACAACAAUCUGGGGCAAAAGCACUAUUUCUAUGGUCCUUGCGAAAUCAGAUUUUAUGGACUGAACUCUAGUUUUGAUAGUCAGAAGCAUAUCAAUGUUAUUUAUAUUCUGUAAUAAUUUAAUGUUGUAUGUGUUGCUAUUUACAUUCUUUACAGUUUCUCAAGUAUUUUGAUUGUUAAUCAAUCAUUUUUAUCUAUGCUGGAUGCUCAUUAAAUGACUCAGUGGUCAAUGUCUGCAAAACAAGGAUUUUAAUUCAGUUUAUGUUUGAUCAUGGCAAAAAUCUUUUUUGUUCUUCAAGAAAUCAACACAAAAAUGACUAUGAUGACCUUUUGGUCUGUUCCAUACAGCAUCAUCUUGAUCUACAUUCACACUGGUGUUAAAGCAAUACCAAUAGUGUUUCCAUUAUUACUACCAAAGAG